AUGGUCAAUUGCUUAAGCGCCGGCGCGACGAUGUCGACACGCUGUGUCAAGCUGAGCUCGCGGCACACAACAAGCUCCUGCAGCGACGGGGAGCUGACCCUGACGUCGCACUUAUGGUUGGGAAACAAAGCCCUGCAGAGGCGGAGCGUGCGCAGGCGCGGGCAGCAGGAGAGCAAGGCGUCGAGGUCGGUGACGCUGUACGUCAGGGACAGCGCCUCGAGUGCGGGGAACUCGGCGCCGGCCGGCACGCGGAGGGAGAAGGGGGAGGCGAAGUCCAGCGCGAUGGAGGUGGCGCCGUCCAGGCGAGGCAGGUCGACGGCGAGGCGGGAACGGCCGAUUAAGUCCGCGGGGAGGCGGAAUUCGAGACUCUCCGGCUCGAGCCGCGCGGCGGCGCGGAGCAGCGAGUUGACGCCGGCGCUGUCUACCCGCUGCUUCUUGGGGCUGGGAAAGCCCCUGCUGCGCCGCUGCCUCUGGGGGACGCGGAUCUUGAGGAGGGAAACCGCGGGCGGGGGAGGAGGGAGCCUCGAUCGAGGGGAAGGGCACGUCGCGGAGGACGAUCUGGCGGAGGCGGGCCCAGAGGCCGCGCCACCGGCGGGAGAGGACUCCGGUGCGGGCGGCGGCGGCGGCGCAAGGGAGGCGGGCGAGGACGAGGAGGAGCACGUCGUCCGGGAGGUCGCUGAGGCGGUCCGCUCCGUCGCCCGUGCCAUCUGGCUCCUGGCCCGAACUCCGGCGAGGCCCCGAGCUCGCCCCCAUCGACGCCCGGAUCUCACCCACCAGGUGGGGACUGUGCAGUCGACCUAUCUCACUCUGAGCAAGUACGAGGUUCCACCAACAUCCCCUUCUGGUCCUUUUAAAAAAAUUAAAAAAAAAAAGCCCAGCCCAGCGUUGAUAUGUGCUACUCCCUCCGUUUCAGUUUACAAAUCCUGCGCGCAUAUCUAG
rnacentral:rRNA from 1 species